UACAGCCAUAUCAUGACAAAACACCAGUUCUCGUCUGAUCACUAAAAUUAAGAAACAUCAGGUCUGGCUGAUUCUUGGAUGGGUGGCCACUUGGGAAUACCAGGUGCUGUAAG